GAAAGUAAAGAAGGGCGCAUGGCGGAUGCCUUGGCUCUCGGAGGCGAUGAAGGACGUGAUAAGCUGCGAUAAGCUUUGGGGAGGUGCAAAUAACCUUUGAUCCAGAGAUUUCCGAAUGGGACAACCCAAUACCUUGAAGAGGUAUUAUCCAACGUUGUUGGAGGCUAACGCAGGGAACUGAAACAUCUUAGUACCUGCAGGAAAAGAAAAUAAACAAUGAUUCCCCCAGUAGUGGCGAGCGAACGGGGAACAGCCCAAACCAUCCAUGUUACGGCAUGGGUGGGGUUGUAGGACUACGCCGUUGCAUGAAGACAUCAGAGAAGAACUUUCUGGAAAGAAAGACCAUAGAGCAUGACAGUUGCGUAUUCGAAUGUUGUCGAAGCAUAGUAGUAUCCUGAGUAGCGCGGAGCACGAGGAAUUCUGCGUGAAUCUGCCGGGACCAUCCGGUAAGGCUAAAUACUCCCGAGAGACCGAUAGCGAACCAGUACCGUGAGGGAAAGGUGAAAAGCACUUCGAACAGAAGAGUGAAAUAGUUCCUGAAACCGUGCGCCUACAAGCGGUCGGAGCUCGUUAAUGAGUGACGGCGUGCCUUUUGCAUAAUGAACCUACGAGUUGCCUUUGCCGGCAAGGUUAAGUGUGACGACACACGUAUCCGAAGCGAAAGCGAGUCUGAACAGGGCGUAUAGUCGGCAGUGGCAGACGCGAAACCAAGUGAUCUACCCUUGGCCAGGUUGAAGGCUGGGUAACACCAGCUGGAGGACCGCACCAAUAAGCGUUGAAAAGCUUCUGGAUGAGCUGAGGGUAGGGGUGAAAGGCUAAUCAAACUUGGAGAUAGCUCGUACUCCCCGAAAUGCAUUUAGGUGCAGCCUUGCGGGUUACUGAUGUGAGGUAGAGCGACUGAUAAGAUGCGAGGGCUUCACCGCCUAUCAAGUCUUGACAAACUCCGAAUGCGCAUCAGUUCUACCGCAGGAGUGAGGGCAUGGGUGCUAAGGUCCGUGCCCGAGAGGAGAAGAAUCCGGACCACCUGCUAAGGUCCCGAAAUGACAGCUAAGUUAAACUAACGAAGUCUGACUGCUAAGACAGCUAGGAUGUUGGCUUGGAAGCAGCCAUUCAUUUAAAGAGUGCGUAACAGCUCACUAGUCGAGGAGUCGGGCGUGGAUAAUAAUCGGGUAUCAAGUUGUCUACCGAAGCAGUGGGAUCAUUAAUAUGAUCGGUAGGGGAGCAUUCCAGUCGGCGUCGAAGGCGUACCGCGAGGUAUUCUGGAGCGUCUGGAAAAGCAAAUGUAGGUAUAAGUAACGAUAAAGGGGGCGGGAAACCCCCUCGCCGAAAGACUAAGGUUUCCUGAUCAACGCUAAUCGGAUCAGGGUCAGUCGGGUCCUAAGGCUCAGCCGAACGGCGAUGCCGAUGGCAGAAACGGUUAAUAUUCCGUUACUACCUUCAGGAGUGACGUGGAGACGCAGUAGUGACAGUGCCGCCAUCUGACGGAAUAGAUGGUUGAAGGGUGUAGGAGUCGAUCAUGGCAGGCAAAUCCACCAUGAGAUCCGAACCUGAGAGUAUGCCGCGUCCUUCGGGACAAGGCAAUAGUGCGCGUAAGCAUGCUGCCGAGAAAAUCCGCUAAACUUAAUCCUGGAGGUACCCGUACCGCAAACGGACACACGUAGUCGGGAUGAAUAUUCUAAGGCGCUUGAGUGAUUCACGGUUAAGGAACUAGGCAAACUGACCCUGUAACUUCGGGAUAAAGGGUCCCUACCCUUUUAUGGGAGGGCGCAGAGAAUCGGUCCAGGCAACUGUUUAACAAAAACACAGGGCUGUGCCAAAUCGAAAGAUCCAGUAUACAGCCUGACACCUGCCCGGUGCUGGAAGGUUAAGAGGAGAUGUCAUCGAUAAGAGAAGCGUUGAAUUGAAGCCCCAGUAAACGGCGGCCGUAACUAUAACGGUCCUAAGGUAGCGAAAUUCCUUGUCGGGUAAGUUC
rnacentral:rRNA from 1 species